rnacentral:rRNA from 1 species
UACAGAGGGGGCGAGCGUUGUUCGGAAUUACUGGGCGUAAAGGGCGCGUAGGCGGCCCGCUAAGUCGAACGUGAAAUCCCCAGGCUCAACCUGGGAACUGCGUCCGAUACUGGCAGGCUUGAAUCCGGGAGAGGGAUGUGGAAUUCCAGGUGUAGCGGUGAAAUGCGUAGAUAUCUGGAGGAACACCGGUGGCGAAGGCGGCAUCCUGGACCGGCAUUGACGCUGAGGCGCGAAAGCCAGGGGAGCAAACGGG